CUGAGCAUGGGGGAGAACCUGUCAGUCUGAGGGGACAGCCACUAGGGACUUCUUUUCCUUGCCUCAAGAUGACUGGGAAUUCUCCUCCACCUUGGAAGGCCCCUGGGUCAAUGUUUGCAGGAAUCUAAUAGAAAAAUCCUCCAGAGUUUUUGUAGAUAUUUCCAGCCCAGCA